rnacentral:tRNA from 1 species
UCCCUGGUGGCUCAGAGGUAAAGAAUCUGCCUGCAAUGCAGGAGACCCGGAUUCGAUCCCUGGGUGGGGAA